GCCCAGACUCCUACGGGAGGCAGCAGUGGGGAAUAUUGCACAAUGGGGGAAACCCUGAUGCAGCAACGCCGCGUGAGUGAAGAAGUAUUUCGGUAUGUAAAGCUCUAUCAGCAGGGAAGAAAAUGACGGUACCUGAGUAAGAAGCCCCGGCUAACUACGUGCCAGCAGCCGCGGUAAUACGUAGGGGGCAAGCGUUAUCCGGAUUUACUGGGUGUAAAGGGAGCGUAGACGGCGAUACAAGUCUGAAGUGAAAGCCCGGGGCUCAACCCCGGGACUGCUUUGGAAACUGUGUUGCUGGAGUGCUGGAGAGGCAAGCGGAAUUCCUAGUGUAGCGGUGAAAUGCGUAGAUAUCAGGAGGAACACCGGCGGCGAAGGCGGCCUGCUGGACUGAAACUGACGUUGAGGCUCGAAAGCGUGGGGAGCAAACAGGAUUAGAUACCCCUGUA
rnacentral:rRNA from 1 species